rnacentral:sRNA from 1 species
UGUUACAGAAAUUUCUAGGUUGUUUAUAAUUGCAGUACUGUGUAAAUAACACAUGUCUAUCAUACUUUGUAAACAGUUAAAAGUGAAAGCUAAAGUUCCUUAUAAAGAUGUUUAUCUGCCAGGUUUCAGCCUCACUUGACUGAAGUAGUACUUUCAAUUGGGGUAAUUAAGGAAUACGUAGAGAGUGUUUUGGAAGCAUAGUCAUUUUGAUUGGUGAUCCAAUAGUUUUAGCUCUUACUCUUGCUUCCUGGUUUAAUCUUGGUUUCAUAUUCUGCUUUUUGGCAGAAUGUAUUCUCCAUGAGCACUAGCUCUGUGGAGUAUAACUAUACACUUUGAAGAUAAAAGGCAGAAUGACCCAUUGUGUCUGGAAAACACAAGGGCAAGGCAGGUAAAGUUCUCUUUGUACAUGUGGAAACCUGAGACCUGGAGAACGACUCUCCAUGACUCCCCUCCACCCCACAACUAGAACCAGAAAUUGAUUGUGAUUCUUACAUAAUUACAUCAUGAAGUUUGCUACAAAUGAUGAAUGAAAAUGGAAGAAAGAAGACCUAAAGGAAGGUAAGAAAUGCAAUCGCUAAGAAUACAGGGACCUAGUCACAGGAGUCAUUCAUCUUGUCCCUCUAUUUACCUCUAUUUUCCUUGAUCAAUUAGUAGAGAGUCAUUUUUAAACAUUUAUUGACUUGUAUGAGCAUUUUAACCCACAUGUGUGCACCAUGUGUGUGCAGUGUUGCAGAGGCCAGGAGAGCGUGUUGGAUCGAUCCCCUGGAGCAGGAGCUGUGGAUCCCUGUGAGCCACCACAUGGGUUCUGGGAACCAAGCCCAGGUUAUCUCUAUGGACUGCAAUGUCCUUAACCACUCGGCCACUUCUCCACCAAUAGAGGAAAUGUUAGUCGUUCCAUAGGUCACACACUCCCGUAAAUCACUGUGAUCCAGUGUGAAACGUCAAAGCCAGACAAGGGGCAUCACAUGGUGUGGGUGCCUGAGUUUGGGCUGGAUAAGCGCAUCCUAUGAAGCAAAUUUAUGUUUCGAGUCUUGGCGAUGCUCCAGAGACAACACUGCCAGCAAUGACUUUUCUUCCAAAAAUCCAGAGAAUGCAGGCCUCAAGGGCAUCAUAAAGAAGAAGCUGAUGACAACUUGCAAAUUGUUGAAGGACUGCCAUGCACAAAGCCCCAAACGACUGAGAAGAGGAAUGUCCUCAGCUCUCAGAUACAAACAUACGCCUGUUUGCGUGUCCGUCUGUGGCUGUGACCUUGCUCCACGCCUUAGUCUCAUUGUUUUUCUCUUGGCAUGGCUGGUACUCAGCAACUUCAACCUCACGUUACAUUUCUCCUGAUGUUUUAUACCACUGGGUUCCUUCUCACACUGUGCCUUUGUGCUUUACUGCAUUCCCAAUGGUUUAUGUUUGUUCUUAACAGCCCAUGAGAUGUUACUCCUGGGAGAUGCAAACAGGACCUUCUCAGGCAGUUAUCAUCGUGUCCUUCCUGUACUCUUGUCCUUUAUGGGGCCUUUGGUUGGUAUAAUUGAUACUCCUGUUCAGAUCUUAUAAUUUGAAUUUCUUUAUAAGCUUUGUGCUUUCUAGGACACAGCAGUUUUGCACCAGAUUCCUUGGGAUAUAGGGAUGCUAGACAAUUCCUACCGAUAAUGGUUGGGCAAAGGAGUAACUGAAGAUUCCCCUCCAAUAGCCAUGACUUCAUUAGCAUUGAGUAGUUAGCCACAAAUCUAGUACAGACCUCUUGUUAAGGCGGUCUUAUGUUCAAUAAGGGGGCUGUCGGUUGAUACCAAGGUAUGUGUGAUGUAAGUACUUAAUUUUGAGGCUAAUUUUCCUUAAAUCUGUUGGUUGUUGUUGUUGUUGGUUGGAUUUUUGUAGAACUUUGUUAAUGCCCGUGGACAUUUUGCAGAAUCAUAACUUCUAACUAAAGAACCUGAAUUGCGUUUUUUUCUUGAGAUGCUAGGAUAUGACUUACAGGACAGACAGAAUUAAAUAAAUAAAUAAAAAAGACUCCGGGCAGGUCUGACUUAAGAGUCAGACAUAGACUUCAAUCUCAUGUCGGAAUCCUUUGUUAUCUUUUAGUUUCUUAAAAUUGGCCAUAAAGUGUUCUAUUUGUGCUGACUCAUUGGCAUCUGCUGAUUAGAGCUCCAGGGCAGGACCAGGUAGGUCUCUUCUCAGCCGUGAGGGGUUGUGGAGACACAGGUAGCAGCUGGCUCUUCAGUUAUGUCUUGUGCUGAUUCUCUAACGAUGAGACACUGUCAACAAGCAUUCUAAGGGAUGGAGGUUUUAUUCUGACUUAUUGUUCUAGGUGGAGAGUCCAUGACGGCCGCGUGUACAUGACAGUCAGUCAGAGCAGCAAGAGGAAUCACAUCUCAGCUGUGCACAGAAAGCAGAGUGGGCAAGCUGGGAGUGGGGUUGGGCUCUAGACUCUUAAUCCUGCCCUCAAGUGAUGUACUUCAACAAGGCUCCCCAUCGCAAACCUUCUAUAACCACCCCCAAACAGUACCACAGACUGAGGACCAAGUAUUCAAGUACACUAGUCUGUGGAAACAAUC